rnacentral:rRNA from 1 species
AGAUUGAACGCUGGCGGCAUGCCUAACACAUGCAAGUCGAACGGGAGUAGCAAUACUCUAGUGGCGGACGGGUGAGGAAUACGUAGGAAUUUGCCCUUAAGUGGGGGAUAACCCGGGGAAACCCGGAUUAAUACCGCAUGACCUCGAAAGAGCAAAGUGGGGGAUCGCAAGACCUCACGCUUUUGGAGAAGCCUACGUCGGAUUAGCUAGUUGGUGAGGUAAUGGCUCACCAAGGCGACGAUCCGUAACUGGUCUGAGAGGAUGAUCAGUCACACCGGAACUGACGACACGGUCCGACUCCGUACGGG